AUAACUUCCAAAUGAACAUUACCAAAUACUUCCAGUGGAAAAAUGCUUAUGAUCUUUUGUGAAGUGUUCUGUGUCUCCAUGGCUAGCAACAGGCCUUUGAAACUUGACACCUUCUUGUUGGCUGUUUUGAGAACAAAACAAACAAACAAAAAAAAAAAACGAACAACAAAAAAAAAAAAACCAAAACAAAAAACCCACAAAUGUUCAGACUGUAUGAAUUGUAAGCUAUUUUAAAAUCUUAUUUCUUGUCCUUGGUUCUCAUAUGUUUUGGCAAUAUCUCAGAAUCCUGCAAUAAUCUACAGAGCUUAUGGUUGUCUGUUGUCAGCAUUUACCCUUGGUGUGCUAUAUACUCCAGGUGGGACACACAGAGAAUAACUACCCUUCAACCUGGAAUAUCCUUUUGCUUGCAAGUACUGUCCACUGGGAGCAACAGAAUGAUGGUGCUACACUUCUUUUCCUGUCCAGGAAUAAUAUUUUUUGUCUUAUAAUAGAACUGUGCCUUUACACUGAACAGGCCAAACCAAGACAGAGUAUUGUCUACAAGCUGGGGCAUCAGCCUACGUCUUUGGACAUGAUAGAAAGAAGGAAGAAUUGUGCAAUUAAUUGUUGCUAUGUUUUAAUUGUUCAACACGUCACUUAUUGGAUGAAAUUCUAGCCUAAAAGCAGGAGUGUGAUAUAUAAUGUGACAUAAUGGAUUUUAAUUAUGUUUGGGCCAUACCAUGGCAGACAAAACUGCUAUUAUCCUCAUUGGAAACCAGAUUAAUAGGUAAAAAUUUUCAUGAAUGUUUUUUUUCCCUCUAUGUUCGACGCUUUCAGGUUGUUCUGUGUUUGAAAAUUCUUACCUUAUAGUACAUUAAAUUAUAAAGCCUACAUGCAAAUUUACCUUUGAAGAAUACUAUUUAGGUUACAAAGUGAAGCUCUCUAAAGAAGUCAGGUGGUGCUGAACUUCAAUGUAUCUUUGCAAUAAAAUAGUGAGCAAACUCUUGUAAGAGCUGUGUUUGUUCACAGUCACUGUGUAUCUUCACUGUGCUCCUACCACAGUGCUGCC
rnacentral:lncRNA from 1 species